AGAUAUCCUGACUGAUCUGUACUUAGGUUUCACCACCUGAAAGUAAUAAAAUAUAUUUGGUUUGAUUCAUGAAUAAUUGUGCUAAUUAUUUAGUGCUGCUUCUUGUUUAUCUCACAACUGCUCUGAGGUCUGCCCAGGGGUCUCCUGGCCCAGGAUGACAAGUUCUCAGAAAUUACUUUGGCAAUAAAUUCAAUUGAUGUUGUUGUGGAAGAAGCAGGGCUUGAUGCUUAAAGGGUCUAGAGGAAGACGGGCCUACAUUCCUGAUGGACCCAAUAAAAAGAGUAUUUUUCCUGCCUUCAUCAACUGCCUUUUGCUCCUCACCUACUAGGGAGCAAAGCUAGAGGGCAUCUUAGAGAUGUGAGGUGGACUAGUUUGUAAAUAAAAUAGCAUUAAAAAUAUAUCCAACCUACAGAAUGAAGACUAUUGACCCUCCAUCGUUGGUUGAGGGACUUUGAGAGUUUUUGAGAGUUUUUGAGAGUUGUGUUUUUCAAGCUUAAUAUAGCUUUCCUUUCUAGCCUGUUCCUUCAGGUGACACCAACACCCUUUUGAGAAAUAUUUAGCUUGGUCUAGGCUACUGACAGUACCUAGAAAGAAAAAGAAAAAGAAUUAUUCUUGUUUAUUAUUUUAUAAAACCUUUACUAGACUUGGAGACUGCUGCAGCGACAGUCCAGUUAGUGGACUGGAAGACCAAUCAAUGAAUAAUUAUUGACUGUUUACAAAUGAGCCUAGCACGGUGCUUGACCCAUGGUGGGUGUUUAAUAAAUGUUAGCUGACUCAGAGUAUGUCUCAUUAUUGUGGCACUAUGUUAUAGUGAAAGAGCUAUGAAUUUGGCAUCAAACCACAUAGGUUCAAGCAACCAUGUGGAUGUAUGCUCUUGGGCAAAUUAUUUCGCUUCUUCGUAAACUGCUUAUCAUACCUAAACAAUGGGAGUAUUCACAUUAUAAUAGCUACCCCACACAGUUAUUUUGAGAAUGAAAUCAGAAGUGAGUUGGCUCAUUUUAAAGCACUUUAGAUACGUAAGUGAUACAUGUGUUUGUGUAAUAUGUGUGUGCACAAAGGCAGAUAUUAAAAAUUUUUUAAAAUCCUGCCUUUUUCUCUUUCCCAUCUCACUCAGCAAUAGAAGUAGGCAUAGGUCUCUGAUAGGCUGGAUGGCAUCCUGAGUACAGUGUAACUGUGGAUAGUUUAGGCUUUGCAGCCAAGAAGGCGUGCAUUCAAAUCUUUCUUAGCUCUUAUAUUUGGUUGGUUAUGUAACUUUUGAUAAGUUAUUUAAACUCUCUAAGCCUCAGUUUCUUGACAUUUAAAAUGGGGACCUACCUCAAAAAGUUAUUGUGGCGAUUCAUUGAGUUGAUAUUUGCAAGUCUUGGCUCAGUGCCUGGUACAUACCAAAUGUCUGUCACUUUUAUUUUUUAUUAUUAUUUUAGCUAUUAUACCUCUGGACCAGGGAAGCAUCAGAAAAAUGACUUGGGAACAUCUUAUGAGGCAUGGUGUGGGAUGGCAUUUCUACCAUAUGCUUUUUCUUGCUUGGGUAGAUUCUUCCUUUUCUGAAAUUAGCAGAGACCUCUUAGACUCUUCCACAUACACAAGGUAAAGUCUAUCUUCCUUAUACUUUACUGAAAGCCAUUGGCCCUACCAAGCAAGGGACAGGCCUAGGCAACUUCCCUGGAGCUUUCACUUCAACUAGGAACUCAACUCUUUUGUCCCAGAAGUUCCCAACUUCAGGUAAGGAGAAAGGGACUCAGUCAAUGCAUAGCACAGAUCUGGACCUCAAGUGUGGGUGGGAGAAGAUCAUCUGCAUUUGACUCACACAAGUCUAGAGGGAAGACUUGAGUCUUCCCUCAGCUGAAGUAGAUAUUCCAAGUCCUCCUUGAAUGCUGUGAGAGCCCCUCAGUGAUUCUCUGGAGGCAGGUAUCACUAUCUACUCCUCACCCAGGUCUUGUAUUGCCAUGACUUCAUCUUCUAGUGGAGGACAGAAGAAAGUAAUCCCUUACCUAGUCCCUACGGACUUAUUAAAAUUGGGAACUCAACACGAACUUCUGUAUGGCCCAUUAUGGAAGGCCAUACACUAGAUUCUCAGGAUCCAGUGAUAACUAAAACAUGGAUGCUGCUUGCCAUUGUAGCACUCGUAGUCCAGAGAUGAGAGAGGCUUUUAAAAGUCCACAUUCUCCUUUGGGUAGGACGCUUACCAAUCCUGGGUUGUUAUGUAAUGAUGAAGCCCUCGCCUGAACAAUAAGCCACCAUAGGCUUCUGUUUCCUAUUCCAAAUUUAUCUGCCCAAUGUCCCAUUCUGUUAAGAAUUCUUUCACCCAUGAGUUGAUGUGAAUGUGUUAAUUGGUGUGGAAGUACCAGUUGUGAAAGAACAAGUUCCAUCUAUUAAGAUCCAUAUUUUGGCCAGAUGCAGUGGCUCACCACUGUAAUCCUAGCACCUUGGGAGGCCAAGGUGGGAGGAUCGCUUGAGCCCAGGAGUUCGAGACCAGCCUGGGCAACAAGGCAAGAACUCAUCUCUACUAAAUUUUUUUUUCUAAUUAGCCAGGCAUGGUGGUGCAUGCCUGUAGACCCAGCUACUCUGGAGGCUGAGGCAGGAGGAUGGCUUGAGCCUGGGAAUUCGAGCUUGCAGUGAGCUAUGAUCGUGCCACUGCACUCCAACAUGGGUGACAGAGCAAGACCCUGUCUUUAAAAAAUAAGAUCCAGAGACUUUUAGUCACAGUGGUCAUUAGUAAUAUUUAGUGAGAAGAACAGCCUUCUUUUAUGUUUUACUGCAAUUCAUUCUUUUUUUUUCUUUUUUUUUUUUAGAGAUGAGGUCUUGCUCUGUCACCCAGGCUGGCAUGCAAUGGCACAAUCAUCGCUCACUAUAGCCUCGAAAGAUAGGUGCACGCCACCACGCCUGGCUAUUUUUAUUUUUUGCUAUGUUGUCCAGGCUAUUCGCAAGCUCCUAGACUGAAGUGAUCCUCCUGCCUUGGCCUCCCAAAGUGCUGGGAUUACAAGUGUGCACCACCGUGCCUGGCCCAAUUCAUUCCAUUAGGAGCCCAUGGGCUGAUUAUGUUAGAGUGUAUGGGUCCUAGAACUAUAGGACUUACCCUGACCACCACAUCUUGAGUAUUAAUAACCAGAGAGCCAGAGAAGACCUGCUCUGCAGGGAGUAGCCUCAUCCUAGCCUCAGGUCUGGGGCAGGAUUGAGGAUUCCAAUUCGCUACAAAGGUUAUUUGCUUCUACAUACUUCUCUAUAUUUGCAUAGAUUUGGGAAAUGAUAUAAGGGACAAGGGAAGAUCAAAAUAGCCACUUCAUUCCCUGAAAACUCCUACUUUAGCCACUUCCCCAAAGCUAGAGGGUUUUUCCUACUCUACAUUAACUUGCUAGUUUAUAAGCUCUCAGAUUUUUUAAAGCUUAAUCACUUAUAUCGUGUAAGUUGCAGCAUGAUGAAGGCUGGUCACUGCUGAGGGGUUGAUGCAUUCCUACCAGGGCUUGGAAGCAAAUUGGACCACAAAUCCCUAACCAGAAUGAACCUUUCAUAUGCAUGGGCCCCAGAUCUUUUCAAAACAUUAACAAUUCUCUUGAGUUACAAUCCAGAUCAAAGUUGUGUUUGACUUGUAAUUUAAUAUAGUAUUUUAAACCAAUUGGAACCCAUAUAUUUGCUAAUACUGGUGGCCCAGAGUAGCAAGUUAUUCCAUUAAUGAAAACAUUUGGUAAUAGCUCUAGAAAUGAUAGAGAUGAGGGAUGAGGAUUAGAGGACAGGCAGAAUGGGUUGAGUCUUUCUUCUUCUUCUUCUUCUUUUUUUUUUUUUUUUUUUGAGACAGAUUCUCACUCUGUCACCAAGGCUGGAGUACAGUGGCACUGUGUCGGCUGGCUGCAACCUCCGUCUCCUGGGUUCAAGCAAUUCUCCUGCCUCAGCCUCCCGAGUAGCUGGGAUUACAGGUGCCAACCACCAAGCCUGGCUAGUUUUUAUAUUUUUAGUAGAGAUGGGGUUUCACCAUGUUGGCCAGGUUGGUCUUGAACUCCUGACCUCAAGUGAUCCACCUGCGUUGGCCUCCCAAAGUGCUGGGAUUACAGGCAUGAGCCACCAUGCCCAGCGAAUCUUUCUUCUUAUAGUCAGUGGUCCUCAGGCCCUUCGAGGAAGUGGCGCCUUCAUGUUUUCUCCUCCAUGUAAUCAGAAGUCCACCUUCUCACUGGACAGCUUCCCUCCACUGACCUCAGGAAGUGGAGGAUGAAUAGGAGCAGCCAAGCUAAUUAGAGGAUUGAAGGCAGGGUCUUUGUCAUCUAUAAUUAAGGAGAGGUGCAUCCUGUGAUGUGAGCUAUACAGCCUCUGCCUUCCCUAGCUGGUCCAAACCCCAGUGAGUCAACACUGACCCUUAACCAGAGGUAGGUGAACAGAGCCUAGCACAGUUACAAUAAGGGUAGAUGGAGUGAUGGCUUAUAGCUACUGAGAAAAAUCCAUUACUUACCCUCAGAUUAUUCUUAAUGGCAGCUCCUGAAAACUGUCUUUUCCUUUAAGGUACAGGACCUAAAGAAUUCUACUCUUAAAUUAGCUGUCCCAGCUGUCAGUCUUAUAGCUCAUUCCCAAAUCAUGAGGUCCAAUGCAUUUUCCAAAUAUGUAAUGACUCCCUUUUGUUCUGCAUGGCUUCUAAGGUAUCUGAGAGAUCAUCUUAGAAAAUGAAAAAGAGGUAAAAUGCUUCAUCCUAGAAGUAAUUUUUUCCUCCUCAGACAGUUUGCACUUGCCCUGUGGAAAUGAGACAAUGAAUGAGAAGGAACACCAGAUGCUUCUUCCAUCGGUCCUGAUUGGGACUUAAAAAGGUGUGCCCCACUGCUCAGUUUCCCCUGACCCUUUGAAACUUCUCUCAAUGUUGAAUGGAACUCCACUUCUGUCUGUUCUGGAGAACCCAGCCAGGGCCCAAAGAGGGGAUGCUCUGUAUUUCCGAAUACCAGCUUCUACACUUAACAGCUAUGUUUGACUUUGGACAAAUUAUUUAACCUCUCUAAGCCUCAGUUUUUCAACUUGAAUGUAGAAAUUGUAAUAGGGACUGUUUCAUUGAGUUGUCAUUAGCAUUGAGUGGGAUGAUGUAUACAUACCUCUUUGCACAGUACCUGAGGUUAAUAAAUAUGGGGCUCAUUAAAUAUUAGCUAUUGUUACUCUUGAUAUCUUGCCAGCAGAAAAGGGGUGAGGAGCUCUCAUCAAACAUUUUUAACCUUCCUGAAUGGCAAGUCUUUGUCUUAUUCUGGGUUCCUUCUGAACUGUGUAUUAUCCUGUAAGUAGGUGAACACAGAGCCUCUUGGGUACCUAACAAGAAGCCAGGCCACUGCUAAUCAAAAUCAGGCAGUGAGCAAUUGUUAAUUGUAAGAAAGACCAGGAAGAUUUCCUGUCAUCUCUUGGGGCUCCUACUAUUGCACUGAUUAACUGUGACCCAGAACUUUUUUCUUUUUUAGAUGGAUUCUUGCUCUGUCACCCAGGCUGGAGUGCAGUGGCGCAAUCUUGGCUCACUGCAACCUCCUCCUCCCGGGUUCAAGCAAUUCUCCUACCUCAGCCUCCCGAGUAGCUGUGACUACAGGCGCACACCGCCACGCCCGGCUAAUUUUUGUAUUUUUAUUAGAGACAGGGUUUCACCAUAUUGGCCAGGCUGGUCUCGAACUCCUGACCUCAUGAUCCACCUGCCUUGGCCUCCCAAAGUGCUGGGAUUGCAGGCGUGAGCCACCACGCCCAGCCCCCAGAACAUUUAAAAAUAAUAAUAAUAAGAUCUGUGCCCCGAUAGGUUAGCCGACUAGUUAACCUGAGGAAUUUCAGCAGGGAAAGGACUACAGAAAAACUUGGUUCAGAGCUUCAGUAGACUCUGUCUUGCUCCCUUUAUAACAGUCAUAUUAGGUCUUUUGUGUGAGAAGGAUUCCGUGUCCAUCACUUAGUUUAUCAGAGAAUGUGUUUUUAAAGGCUCCUGAGAGCAGGCAAGAACAAUUUCCCUCAUCCUGUUGCUGUUAAGUGGGAUAUACAACCAUCCUGAUGCAAAUCUUUUUUGGGAGAGGAAGGUUAUCCGGGCUCCAUGACUCUUCCAUAAAAAGUUUAUAAUAAGGUCCUUUAAUGGCUGUCACUCUAGAUAUUUGUGGGAAAAGAAUGACUGGAAAGCUAGAACACAUUCAAAAUCCAAGGGCCAGAAAAAUUUUAAGCUCCAGCCUCAGCCUCCGAGCUCCUGGGACCAGCCCCAUAAGAACCAUCCAUUCUAGUCCAACUUGCAAAUGGAGCCCAAGAGUUGAACCUCGGCAUGGGACUCAAGAUGUCUCUAAAGUUCAAAAACACCUGGAUUAUCUGAAAGCAGAACCGGGUCCAGGUCCUGUGCUGAGGUCUCCAGUUUUCUCUAAGUAAAAUGUUUCUAGUGGAGAAAAAGCCUGUGGCCUCUGGGCAGAGAUUUGUUCUAUAGAGAAGUGAAGGAAAUGUGCAAGAGAGAACAGUUUUACUCUGGAGCUCCCUCUACUGGCUCUUUGAUAGAAAUCCAUCGCAGUUAUUCCGCCCUGCCUUGUGGGUAUCAAGUUAAAGCAUCCGAGCAUCCUGGCAUCUUGAAGCAAGGAGAAAAGGUGUCCUGAGGUGCCAAGGAAGAUGAAACUGCAGAUACUGGUUUCUUCUGCCUCCUUUACAAUUUCAUCUAAUGUUUUGGGGGUGCCAAGAUAGUGCUAAGCAUUUUGUGUGCAUUAUUUCAUUUAAUACUCACCAUAAACCAGCAUUUUACAAAUGAGGCAGCUGAGACCUGAAGGGAUUAAAUAAGUUCCUGGCAUCACCAUAGACUAAUAGACCCCCUUAGUGACCCUCAUAAUUCUUAUGAUUCUCCUGAGUGACAACUCAAGAGAAGCAAGAGUCAACGGACAAUGUGAGGUUGGAAGUGGCACUUGAUCUCAUCACCUAAUAUAAAGAGGCUCUGAGAUUGUGCCAUAAACUUCCUAGGUCCUAUAGAAUUUCAGCCCUGUUUGUCUUUUUAUUCUUUUAAUUUUAUUUAUUUAUUUAUUUAUUUAAGACGAACUCUCACUCUGUUGCCCGGGAUGGAGUGUGCAGUGGUGCGAUCUUGGCUCACUGCAACCUCCACCUCCUGGUUUCAAGCAAUCUUCCCACCUCAGCCUCCCGAGUAGCUAGAAUUACAGGCAUGCACCAUCACACCUGGUUAAUUUUUUCUGUAUUUUUAGUAGAGAAAGGGUUUCACCAUGUUGGCCAGGCUGGUCUUGAUCUCCUGACCUCAAGUGAUCCACCUGCCUCAGCCUCCCAAAGUGCUAGGAUUACAGGCGUGAGCCACUGCACCCAGCCUCCUGUUUGUUUUUUUUUUUAAUUCAGCCCUCGAGGCAAUUAAUUACAUGGCAAGGCUUUGUCCAAUCUGCACUCUCACUGUGAUGCCCAGGUUGAAGAAAGCAGGGAACUACCACAGUGACUAAGAAGAGUUUCCAUGACAGAAGUGAGGCCUUUUAAAAUUUGUGGAACAUGUUCACACCUCCUUUUAAAAUAAAAUUCCAUGAGAUAGGUAGGGCAGAUAGUGCCCACACAUUUUAUAGGUUGGGAACUUAAGAUACUGAGUGCCUGUUUCCAGGUUUUGUUUAGGGGCAAAUGGCAGAAUCAAGACCAGAACUGUCACUCUCAGCUUAAGUUCUGACUUUUUGGUUGGUGUUGGUUGGAACUCAGAGUCUAGCAUGGGUUUUUUAAUUACAUAAAAUAAAGACUGUGAAGCUACCUUCUUGUUUUACAUCCAGAUCCUUUCCUGAGUCUCUCUGUUUUGGGCUAGUUCAUAAUUGAGCUUCCUUGAUAUUGAGUCAUUUGGGAAUUGGGAAUGACAUAAGCCACUCACCUUAUUACUGUUGGUCUCUCACCAGUCCACAUUUUAGAGAUAUCUAGGUCCCUGAGAGAAUCCCAAAUAUUAUUUCAGUUCUCCUGUAGCUCAUGAAGCCGUAAAUAUUUCACCUCACCCAGGAGAAUCAAAGCAUUUUCACAUUGGUUCUUACUGGGGAGUUGAGAUAUGGGUAAGUAAUAGGAGUCCCAUUCCUGCUUUGGCUGGGGUUCGGGUCUCCAAUUUCACUGCCAGUGUGUCUCUAAAUCUACACAGUGGGACAGUGGCUACAGCAGACAUCACUCAGCUUCCCACCCCUGACUUGAGACCUUCCACUAGCUGCCCCUUCCCCUAAAAACAGAGUGAUGUCAUAAUGGUAUCAGAAUGGCACCUGCUGAUAACAACACAGAAAUAACAAGAGCAGACUUUCUGCAGUGUCUCCUGAGCAAUUGGUUGUCAUUGUCCUAAACAGAGCAGCUAGGUUAAAAAGAUUUAUCCAUAAUGUAACCUCCUGGCCCUCAGCUAUGGGUGGAAGCAGCACUUUCUGGUUUGACCUCCUAAUACCACAAACUCCACUUUGCCAGAAAAGUGACUUCUUGAUGAAUAGUCUGUUCAGAUAGGCCAAUUUGGAGUAUAUUCAUAUUUGGCCACCUGCUGGAGCGUCAACGACCAAGAGGAGACCAGAUGAGUUUUCAAAGCAGUCCUCAAACACCCAGGACACACCUCAUCCUUUGCCUCGUGCUUUCUGCAAUGUUGCUGUUCAUGUUCAUCUUCCUAUUAACAUUUGCCAUAAUAACCCCUCAUUGACCACCAUCAUUCCUCCAUCCACCACCAACUCAGCUCCUUCUCUAAAGUGCCCUCUAAUGGGCAGUGGCUUUGGUCUCUGUUUGGCAAAUUAUGUCCAGAGGGUUAACAUUAAUUUCUCUUUCUCCUAUUCCUCCCUCAUGCUAGACUCAGUCCAACACUCAGCCUCCUGUCAGGAAAACCAUAGCAAAUCCUACUUUCUGCUAAAAUGAAGUUACAAGACACUUUUCCAGAGUAGUCACACUCAAUGAAGGGACCCAGGGUGUAUCUGAGUGUGAUGUAAUUGAAACCACAUGGAAAGACUAGAAAUACCUUGCUCCCAGUCAGAUAUAGUGAAACAGCUUACUCAAGACAGGACUAAGAUUUAGAAUAUAGGGGGGCUAGGGAGGAGAAAGAGAAAGAUCCUCAGAAGUGGAUUGUCCCUGAAUACAGGAUGAAAUCAUCUAGAUUUUUUUCUCCAAUUAAAUUUGCAUUUCAUUCAACCACAUUGCAAUGGCUUCAUACUGGGCAUUUUCAUUUGAGACCCAAGGCUUUUCUUCAUGGGUCCUGAGCCACAGGUUCCUGGAUGGUGAGGUAAGUGGCAUUUGCCCACACUGUCUAGGGUGGUUUGUAGUGCUUUGAUAAACCCUGUGCUGAUGAGUCAGAUCCACCCUGUUAGGCCCUAAAAUUUGUCCUCUAUUGGUCCCUCUUUACCCAAAUGCUCUUCAGGGAUCCUAGCCCAGAUAUAGAUGUUAGUCCAGCCUCACAAUGUUAAUUUAGACCUCUAUAAAACCAAAACAGAUCCUGAG